rnacentral:lncRNA from 1 species
AGGGCAGUACCAAUAAUAGCAAAAAACAAAACUAACUGUACCCUAAGGUUUCAUAAUUGGAUGAAUUUACACUUUUUGUCGUUAUGAUUUUUUAUUUUUAUUUUUUUUUACGUAGUGCUAGUGAGACUAAAUUUGUAGAUAAAAUAUACAAACUAAAUAAUGUGUCAACAAUAAGAAAUGGACACGUUUAUCAAACCAAUCAUUAACUAUCAUGUCAUUAAUUGUCUAUAAUUUUAGUCUCCUGAACGUUAUCACUUUCAUUUUCUUGUUGAGUAAAUUGUAGCAAUGGUCCCUAAACUUUAAUCAAAUUGGAGCAAUGGUCCCUCAACUAAAAAUCCAUUACCAUUGGUCCCUCAACUUAUCAAAAUGUGUAGCUAUAGUACUUUUCAUCAAUUUCUUCAAAAUUUUGUCAAAAUAUGUUAUGUUGGAAUAACCAUUUAUAUAAUUAGGAUCCCUCAACUCAUCAAAGUGUGUAAUUAUGGUCUUUUUCGUCAACUACGUAAAAAAUUUUGUCAAAACGAGUUAUGUUGGAAUGACCAUUGCUACAAUUGGGUUAAAGUUAAGGGACUAUUUCUCCAGUUGAAUUAAAGUUGAGGGACCAAAGGUAAUGGAUUUUUAGUUGAGGGACCAUAGCUGCACGUUUUGAUGAGCUGAAGGACCAAUGGUAAUGAAUUUUUAGUUGAAGGACCAUUGCUCCAAUUGAGUUAAAGUUAAGGGACCAUAGCUACAAUUUACUCUUUCUUGUUUCACGGAAAUCAACAAGAUUACCCUUUUAAUUAAAUUUACAUAUUAAAAAAUAAUUUAACUAGUUUUAUGAUAUUUAAAUAUAAAACCGUUGAAUUAUAUUUUUUCAAAGAAAUUGAUUUACCCAGUUUUGUAUCAUAUAUUUUCCUCUCACUCUCACGCACACAACCUUUCAUCUUUUACUAGAUUUUCUCAACUGUGAAAAGAAUACGAGAUACUUAAAAUUUAAGUAAGAAAUACCAACAAAAUAUAUAUGAAAAAUACUAGGGAAACUAUGUUUUAUAUUUAAUAUAUGAUAAAAUUAUUACUAGAUAAUGAUUAAAUAAUUGUGACAUUGAAAAAGAAAUAACGUACCUAACAGUAUUUAAGAAAAGAAGAAAAGUAAUGCAGAAAAAUGCAAAAGCAAAGGGUCAAGUUAAAAUUAAACAGAAAAAAACACGGGCAGCUAGAAAUUUCAACCAGAGAAACACAUAUAAAAAUAUAUCAUAAAUCUAAAGAAGAUCUAUUUUUUUUUCUUUUUUUUUUCUGAAAUAAAAGUUUAAAAACAUAAAACGACACCCGCAUUGGAUGUUUCCGAAAUGCGAAAAAAUAAGCGCAGACCUGAGUUUACGGUCUUCUACAUCCAAGUUAAUUAAUGUUUCUCCCCGUCAAUUAAAUUAAUUUAGAAUCGAAUACCGAAUUUAAAAUUAAUUAAUAUAUAAAUGAAAACUGAAAAUUAUGAAAAGGAAAUUACCAUGAAACCGAAUGAGAAGGUGCUGAUGACGGAGAGAGAGAUGGAGACGGCGGAGAGCUCUAGGUUUCCGAGAUGGCCGACAAACAUGGUGGAAGCAGUGUUGGUUCCAUAGUUGCAGAUGAUAGUGAAGGCGAUGGGCCCUGCAAUCUUCCACAGCUUCUUGGUUUCAGUCCACGCCACCGACCGAGCAUCCUUGAAGCUCCUCACCGGCUCGUAGUCAUGGAACUCGCCGUCGCUCACUCCGUGAAGCAGUGGCGUCUCCAUUUGCGUAUGUGGUUGUUGCAGGGACGCGUGUGCGGCCCUGAAGAAUUUGGAGGUGGCUGCCCACCGGAGAAGAUGGCUGUUUUGUGUUUUUUGGCUUUUGGUUUGGUUUAGGUUUGGUAGUGGAAAAUGGAAGUGCAAAGUUUUGAGGUUUCUGUGUUACUUUUAUAAACUUGAGAGCUGCACGCUUUACAUGUUGCUCUGGUUUUGACUUUUACUCUUUACUUUGACACUACAACAAAUUUUUUCUUUGGAAAAAAUGUGAAACAAUUUUUUUGUUCUUCUAGAUAGAGAUAUUUUUCAAUGAAACGCCUUAUGUUAUUAUAUAAAUAGAGGUAAGUUGUUUUUACAAGUAUUUUUUUACUUAUACUUUGGAUGCGGUCCCUAACUAUCAAUAUUCUUUAAUCAAAACCUUGUUAGUUUUUAGUUUUUGAUUGAGGUCCCUAACAUUAAUGUAAUAAUGUAAGUUACUAUAUUUUUUAAAUUAAAAAUUAAAAAUUGAAAUUUGUAAUUGUUUAUAUUAAUGAGAUUUUAAAUAAAACCCAUAAUUUAUGUGAUUAAAAAUAAUAAAAUAUAAAUUAUACUCUCUAUUAUAUUGUGUGUGUGUGUGUACAUAUAUGUAUGGGUACAUUAACCAAAAUUAACAAAAAAAGUUAUUGUACCAAAACAUGGAUACAUUCUCAAAUCAACGAAAAAGAAUGUACCCAUAUAAGUUUAAACAUGGAUUAAAAAAUUUGAAUGGAUUUUAUAUUAAAAAAAAGGCUACAUUUUACAUAUAACAAAUUGAUAUAUUUGAGAAUGGGUACAUUUAAGAUUAAAAAAAUAGAAAAAUUAUAUGAAUGGGUACAUUUAAGAUUAAAAAUUGAGAAUCUUUAUAUAUAUAAACUAAUAGGUACAAACUUAAUUUAAUUUAAUUUUUUAUUAUUUUGGAAAUGUUUGAAUUGAAAAUUAAUUAGAAGUUUAAUAGAGGUGUGAGUAUUAAACCCUAAAUUAAUUACUAAUUUUUAUAUUAAAAAAUUAUAUAAUAAACAUGUAAAUUCAUUAUCACAUUAAUGCUAGGGACAUGAAUCAAAAUUUGAUAACUAAUAAGGUCUUAGUUAAUAAACAGUAAGAACUAGGGACCGGAUACUAAUUUUUCCUAAUUACAAUUUACCAUAACAAAAACAUGUGCUCUCGUAUUGCACUCCUAGAUAAUUAUUAUGUUUACAUUCAUUCAAUUGUAAUUGACAAAUUUUUAUUUAUUAAUAUUUUUUUUUAACAAACGAUAUUAUCUACAUGAAUGUAAUAUUUUAUAAUGUUAGCCAUUUUAUGUUGUUUAACGAAUUUUUAUUGAUUAUUAGAAUCAUAUUGUUUGCCAUUUUAUGUUUUUAGUAUAAUAUUUUAUAAAAUAUUAACAUGAUAAUUAAUGUUAAAUUGUGAAGUGACAAAGAAAUCAUAUAAAGAGUCUCACUAUGAGAAAAUGUCCUUAACAUUUAUCCUAAAUUUUUAUUGUUACUAUUGUUAUAUUAUUAUACCAUCAGAUAAGAUAUUGCUUAAAUCCAAUACUUCGAGAUACGUUUUGCUUUAUCUAUAUACAGAGCCUCCCAAAAUCUAAACUACUGAGAUUUCGUUUAUCUAUAUACAGAGCCUCCCAAAAUCUAAACUACUGAGAUUUCGUUUAAAAUAAUUAAAGAUAAAAAUAUCUCUUGGUGAAUGUAAAACAUACAUACAUAUAAAUAUAUACACACACACAUACAUGUAUAUAUAUAUAUAUAUAUACACGCCCUUUAAGGGAAGAGAUCCCUAUUUUUUCAAAAUAUAUACAUACACACACGUACAUGUAUAUACACACACAUACAUACAUAUAUAUAUAUAUAUAUAUAUAUAUAUAUAGACACAUGCCCUUUAAGGGAAGGGAAGGGAUUCCUAUUUUUCAAAAAAAUGGGGACACCCUCUUGACCAUUAAAUUUGACUUUAAUGAAAUUAUGUGGCUGAAAUUAAAUCACAGGCUACAGAAUCUCAACCAUAGAAUUUUAUUAAAGUCAAAUCUAACGGUCAAGAUGAUGCCCUCAUUUUUUUUGAAAAUUGGGGAUCCCUUCCCUUUUCAUAUAUAUAUAUAUAUAUAUAUAUAUAUAUAUAUAUAUAUAUAUAUAUAUAUACACGCCCUUUAAGGGAAGAGAUCCCUAUUUUUUCAAAAUAUAUACAUACACACACGUACAUGUAUAUACACAUACAUACAUAUAUAUAUAUAUAUAUAUAUAUAUAUAUAUAGACACAUGCCCUUUAAGGGAAGGGAAGGGAUUCCUAUUUUUCAAAAAAAUGGGGACACCCUCUUGACCAUUAAAUUUGACUUUAAUGAAAUUAUGUGGCUGAAAUUAAAUCACAGGCUACAGAAUCUCAACCACAGAAUUUUAUUAAAGUCAAAUCUAACGGUCAAGAUGAUGCCCUCAUUUUUUUUGAAAACUGGGGAUCCCUUCCCUUUUCAUAUAUAUAUAUAUAUAGGAAUUGCUUAAGGGGAGGGAUCCCCAUUUUUUUCAAAAAAAUGGGGACACGCUCCCCACCGUUGGAUUUGAAUUAAAUGAAAUCCUGUGGUUGAGAUUCUAUGACCUGUGUUUUAAUCUCAACCACACAAUUUCAUUAAAGUCAAUAUAACGGUGGGGAGCGUGUCCCCAUUUUUUUUGAAAAAAUGGGGAUCCCUCCCCUUAAGCUCCAUGUAUAUAUAUAUAUAUAUAUAUAUAUAUAUAUAUAUAUAUAUAUUAAUAGAACUCUAGUUGUCAACUAAAAGAGGGUGAAAAACUAUUUAGUGUUCUAUCACAACAAAAAAGUUUAAAUUUUUUUUCUGUUUUUAAUUUAAGCAUCACCUCACUCCCUCUCUCCCAACUCCCACCUUCUCUCUCACUCUCUUUCUCUCUCAUUCAAUUUUUAAAAUAAAAAUAAAAAAUUUCACACACACUUUGUGUGUGGGCAUAUACUAGUAUAAUCUAUCGAAGCUAUCUAAUCAAGUUUUAUGUGCAGAUUUUUUAUGUUGGCAUGCCUAAUAACCCCCUUCCUUGUAAAAUUCGACAACUUAACCCACUAAUGUUAUCGUUUGUAAAACAAAUGGAGAUUUAAUCAAAUUAAUCAGCUACCUAAUGCUUCAAUGGGUUAGGUCUCCGCAGACCAUGUCAUAUACUAUUUAAUUUAUAAUUUGGUUAAUGGAGAAAAGUUUCAAUGUGAUAGGAACACCGUUCGGUACGUCAAGUGUUAUAAUACAAGUAUUCAACCCUUAUAUUUAUGACAUUUGAUGUAACCGUCUAUGUUUUUGGCACACUAAAAACCUCUUACGGUUACUGGUGUUCAUUUUUCUCCAUCUUAAUUGGUCAUGCAUGGGUAACGUUGACAUGUGGUUAACUUUUAUUGGUGCAUGCGACAAGUACUCACAAAUUAGUUUCCAUAAUUUGUGAGACAUUAGCUCCACCAAGUCAAUUUUUGGGUUGAAAAAAUAAUCCCAAGUAAAAUUACAUCACUUACCAUAUAAUAUGAUUGUGGCCUAAAGAGCUAAAACUUGAAACUAAUCAGGCACGUCUCAUGACCUAAAUAUGUCACAUAACAAAUUAUUCAACCCUUAUAUUUAUGACAUUUGAUGUAACCGUCUAUGUUUUUGGCACACUAAAAACCUCUUACGGUUACUGGUGUUCAUUUUUCUCCAUCUUAAUUGGUCAUGCAUGGGUAACGUUGACAUGUGGUUAACUUUUAUUGGUGCAUGCGACAAGUACUUACAAAUUAGUUUCCAUAAUUUGUGAGACAUUAGCUCCACCAAGUCAAUUUUUGGGUUGAAAAAAUAAUCCCAAGUAAAAUUACAUCACUUACCAUAUAAUAUGAUUGUGGCCUAAAGAGCUAAAACUUGAAACUAAUCAGGCACGUCUCAUGACCUAAAUAUGUCACAUAACAAUAUUCCUUCUUGGUAAUCGUCAUUAGAUUUUGAAUAAUCAUGAAUUAACCUUCAGACCAACUAAUUUUUCAUCUCAUGGUACUCAUGAUCUUAAUAUUAGAAGAGUUUUCAAGUUCGAAUCUUCACACUUUCAAUAAUAAAACAUAAAAACUCAAACCAGUGUCGACCACAAAUAUUUGAGUCGAAUAAUCCACCACACAAUCACCUAAUGUAGUAAGUGAACCAUAAAGUUAUUGUCAUUUGUGUAUUAUCUUUCACUUAUAUUAAAAAAAAAAAAAAAAAAAAAAGCGUGACCUCACGCCCUACGUACUCCCCCUACCUACCAAUCGUUCGUAAGACUUGAAGUUUUCAUCUCAAAGAAUGGACUGUUAGGAAUAAAUUGGACUACCAAUACCAUCACAAUCCAUUAUGCGAUGCGAUGCGAAGCAACGUAGUUACUCUUUGUACCAGUUGUGAAUGGUCCACGUAUACGUAGGUUGGUUUUAUAAUUUGCACAAGAUCGCUAGCAUUACCUUCGGUCUUCGACUCGGUGGAGUUUCAGAGGUAAAAAAGGGAGGACAAGGUUGGUAAUAUCAUCGGUGCUUACUAGUCCACGCCUCCCCUGCUAAAACACUGUUUAUUUGCUGACAGAUACUGGUUAUUAACUUAUUAAUUGGAAUCAGUUACGCCAACCAUUGUUUAGCUAAGUUGUGUGGUGUGAUGGUGUUGAAUGAAGUUCCGUUUGAUAUUUUAUUCAGGACGUCAUUUUUCACGAUUAUAUUUGUAUGAGUUUCAGUUUAAUGUAUCGUCUUCGUAUCAAAGUAUAAGAUAUUUGCUGAUUGACAUAUGGGUUAUAAUGCUUAAUCAUUCCUUAUUAAUUUGAAUCAGCUACACCUAGCGCUAUAAUAUGUAUUUCUGUUUAUUUUUUAUUACAAGUGAUAUUAUAACAUACUCUAAGCUACAUUAAAAAAAGAGAAUUGUUUGAACCUGAGACGAAGUGAAUUGAAAAGAAUUUUUUAUCCAACAGAGCCAUCUACCAUUUGCCUCCGUCUCUCAUCGUUGGAAACAUUGUUUUAAAAUUUUGAGCCGAACAACUUGAGAAUUCCUAGCCAUUAAUGGAUGAUUUUAUUCCAGAAAAUUAAGGAAUAUUGUUAUACAACCAACGUACUCUUUUGGACCAACUUAUGUUAGAAUUUGUUGUAGCCAUUACUGCCAAUGCCAAUAGUCAUAAGAAAUAAAAUUCGAUUUCCGCGAAACAUAAUAGUCGUUGUUCAGAAGGUAAUCGAACACUUGACUUCAAAUUUAUGAAUAAAUACGUACUACUAAACUUAUUGUUCUAAAAAUUCUUCCCUAACGCCGUCUAGACCCUGCCUAGGCCUGAGCGCUAGGUGGCUGGCCACCGCCCCGAUUAGUUCCUAGGCAUUUGAAAAUUAAGAAAGUUCGCCUAGACUCUCAUAGGCGUCCUCCUCGUCCGCCACCUAGCCCGCCUAAACCUGCCUAGGCAUCGUUUAGGUCUCAACUCUCACUUAGAUAGAAAAUCGACAACUGUUAUUUUGCAUUUUAUUUUUUUAAUAAAUGUAAGAGACUUGUUGAAUACUCAUUAUAUACUUGCUCUCAUAUUUUCAAUAUAUUCUAAUACUUUAUAACUUAUAUGUCAUUUUAUUUUGUAAUUUAUGUAUACAAUUACGUGUUUUUUAAGUAGAAAUAUGCACUUGUUUUUACAAUAUAUAUAAUAAAUUUACUUAAAUUCGUCUAGUCCACCUAAACGCUAGGUCCCAGUCCGUUGCCCGACUAGCGCCUAACGUCUUUUAAAACCUUGCUUAAACUAUAAACUCCUUACUGCAAAGAAUAAAAAAUAUGGAUAAAAUAAAACCCUCAAAAUCACCCUCGACUCAAAAUAAGAUUGGUUUUCUUUCAAAUUUUUAUUGUUGCUUCAAUAUCUCAAUUUUAAUAAUGAAAUCGUUAUUUUGUUUUCCCUGAAAAGUUAUUUUGAUUUUUGGGUCCACUUUGUGAAAUCUACAUUCUGAUAUUGUGACCCUACAUCUGUUAUUUUCUCACCCUUUGAGUCAGAUCCUGCACGGGAUGUAAUAUUGUUGUAAUUAGGAGGCAAAAGGAAAGAACAUAAUGAACAUUUCCGCUGCCAAUAGAAUCGAAACCUUUUGGUGAAGAUCGUUAUAAAAAAUAAAAAUAAAAAAUAAAAAGAAGAUUUUACACCCAUUGUCAUGUGCAUGCAAUUAAAUUAUAAAUUAAAUUAGUAGUAGCCGCAUAGAUUCUUUGGACCAUGUUUGUACAAGAUUCAGCCCAACACGCAUAGUGCUAGUGGAUUUUACACACUCAGGAGUCAAGAAACAAACAAGAAGAUUUUGUUAUUGUGGGAAAGUUCAUAGUUUCUCGUAGUACUGGUAACCGCAUAAUGUCUUCAAGGUGAACGACUUGGGAUCAAUGAAACAAGGUAAGCUAAGUCGGAUGAAAAAUAGAGUUGACCUAAAGAAAGGGAUUGGCUCUCAAGAAAUGGAGACAGAUGUCUUAGCUCGGAAUCUGUGUGCCGUCUCAUCGUGACCUUUUCGUUAUUUUUGGUCGGACUAGAUGGGAGAGUGGAGGCAGAAAGCCUCAACUUUGACCACAAUGAGAAGUGAAUGUUGAAGAAGUACAUAAAACAUUGGCAAAUAAAGCCUCACUCUGCCCAAAAUAUACCGAUACAAAAGCAUGAGUACAAUGCAACGCAGUCACUCUUUGUACCAGUUGUGAAUGGUCCAUGUACGUAGGUUUUAUAAUUACACAAGAAUCUGCCAGCAUUACCUUCGAGUCUUCGAUCGACUUAGUAGAUUUUCACUGGGAAAAAGGAAAAACAAGGUUGGUAGUAUCAUUGGUGUUUAGUUAUCCACGUCUCCUCUGUUUAUUAAUUUGAAUCAAUUACACUAACCAUUGUUUAGCGAAGUUGGUGGUGGGAUGGUGUGGAAUGAACUUCCAUUUGAUCUUAUUCAGGACGUCAUCUUUCACAACUAUAUUUGUAAGCGCCAUAAUUUUUUUUUUUUUUUUGUUUUCCUCACAUUACUUUUGAAAUUAUACGCAAUAUUAUUACUCAAGAUAAUUAGAUGAAUUUUAUUUUAAACACAUGGAGAGUAUAAAAUCACAGAGUAGACUGGUAAAGCCAUUGCCUUCCAGAUUCCGAAAGGAAAAUCUCUAUUCUGUUAUGUCGUACCGCCGAGGGUUUUUAUUUUUUUUUAUUUUUUAUUUUAAAGGAGAAUUGUUUGAACCUAAAACACAAUAGAUUGAAGAGAAAUUUUUUUAUCCAACUAGCAAUCUACCACUUUCUUUCGUGGACCAUCAUUAGAAACAUUGUUUUAAAAGUUUGGGCUGAGUAAUAUUGUUAUGAGAAAUUCUAAAAAGACUCUCUUAAAAGUGGGACUAUUCAUAUACUUUCUAUAUCUCAUGUUUUGACAUAAUAUUUUAUAGGGUUAAACUUUGUUUACUACUCUUAUGUUUCGCGGUUUUCAACAUUUAGUAAAGUUUUUUUUAUUCUAGAGUCAUACCUAAAGUGUUAAUUUUAAGACAGUCUCAUACAUCCGUUAGUCAAACUGUUAAUUCUCCCGUUAAGUGAUGAUGUGGCGCCCAUAUGAACAAUGAUUGGAUGCCAUGUGUCAUUAAAAAUAUUAAAAUAAUUAAUUAAAUAAAAGUUAAAAAAAAAACCAUCCCUUCUCCUCCUCCCCCCCCCCAAAACCCAGAAGAAGAAGAAAAAAAAAAGAAUUUGCAACCCAGAAGAAGAAGAAGGAAGAAAAGAAGAAAAAAAAAAAACCGAAUUUGCAACCUAGAAGAAAAAGAAAAAAACCCCAUCCCUUCUUCCCCCGCACCCCCAACCCAGAAGAAGAAGAAGAAGGCAGGUGGGUCGCCGGGGGGGGGGGGGGGGAGGGGGACGAACUGGGUUUGGGCUGCUGUUAUUUUUCUUCUUCUUCUGAGUUGCAGAUUCGGUUUUUUUUUUUUUUUUUUUUUUUUUUUUUCUGGGUUGGCGGAGGCGGGGGGAGAAGGGAUGGUUUUUUUUGUUUUUUUUUUUAACUUUUAUUUAAUUAACUAUUUUAAUACUUUUAAUGACAUGUGGUGUCCAGUCAUUGUCCAGAUGAGCGCCGCGUCAUCACUUAACGGAAGAAUUAACAGUUUGACUAACGGAUGUAUGAGACUAUCCCAAAAUUAACACUUUAGGUAUGACUCUGGGACGAAAAAAACUUGAUGUACUAAAUGUUGAAAACCACGAAACAUGAGGAUAGUAAACAGAGUUUAACCCUAUUUUAUAAAUUAACUUUACACUAUGAAAUGACUAGUCCAUAAAGAGUCUCACUUUGAAAACCUCCUUAGCAUUUCUCGUUAGUUAUACAACGUCCUACCUUGUACUCUUUUGGCCCAACUUAUUAAUGAAUGUUAUAAUUCGUUGUAAUGUUAGUUAUACAACGUCCUACCUUGUACUCUUUUGGCCCAACUUAUUAAUGAAUGUUAUAAUUCGUUGUAGCCACUUCUGCCAAAGCCAAUAGUCAUAAGAAACAGAGUUCGUCUUUUGCGAAACACAAUAGCCACUGUUCACGAGGGAAUCAAACACAUGAUCUGAAAUUGUGACCCUACGUCUAUUAUUUUCUCACCCUUGAGUCAUAAAUCCUACACGGGCUGUAGUAUUGUUGUAAUUAGGGGUCAAAAGGUGUUGAAGAAUAUAAUGAACGAUUCCACUGCUAAAUGUAUCGAAAUCAUUUGUUUAAGAUCUCACACGUGUUGUUAUGUGCAUGCAAUUAAGUUAUAAAUUUGAGUAGUAGUGGCUCGUUGAAUCACCUCUAGGAUCUUAUCAAAAAGCUUUAAAACACAUCAAAACCUACACAAUGUCCUUGGGGGUAGUAAAGUACAUAGUUUCUCGUUGUAUUGGUAACUGCAUAAAGGUCUUCAAGGUGAACGGGUUAUGGUCAAUGAAAUAAUGUAAGCAGGAGAACUCGGAUAAAAAACAGAUUUGUAACUUAGAAGAAGGAUUGGCCUCUCAGAAAUGAAGAUGGAGGUCUCAGUUCGUAAACUGUUGGCCGCCUCAUCGUGACCUUUUUGUUCUUUUUGGUCAGACUAGAUGAUGGACUGAAGGCAGAACGCCUCAACUUCGACCAUAAUAAGAAUUGAAUGUUGAAGAAGUACAUUAAACAUUGGCACAUACCCUAAAUAUACAGAUACGAAAGAGAUACAAAAGCACGAGUUUUCUUUCAUUUUAUGCAGCAAUGUGCAUCAAGGAUCUAUGCUAAUUUCAUGAUAUAUUUUUAUAUAUCUUGUCAGUUUUUAUUUCUUGGCUUCCCCACUUCUUUAUGCGCUUUGUUGUUUGCUCCACCUGCAUUAUAAAUAAGAAAUUCAGUUACGAAUUUGAAAUAGUUUAGUUGGUUAGGGUAGUGUGUUAGUCUCAUUCCAUCCGAGUUCGUAUCCCUUCUAGAUAAAUUAGAGUACGAUAGAAUAUCGUUAUAUACUGAUGAGUACCUCUCUGUCCCAGUUAAUUCUACAAGUCAGAAUCAGCAGGAAGAAGAUCUGAAGAGCAUUUCCACUCAUCAUCCCACCCCAAAGUCCCUAUGCAGCACAUAAAAUUAGAUUGAAAACCAAAGAGUAAUUAAUUAGACUGAAAUGAAAAUAAUUAAAUAAGGGUAGGAUUGCUUAUUACCACAGCUCCAAGAUUUGCUUUGAAGCCAAGAAAGAUGGCUAACGGGAGCCCAACCAAAUAACUACCAAAAUUUAUAUAAGCCGCCAUCACUUGCCAUCCACCUCCAAUAGCAACUCCUACCAAAAAAAAAAAAAAUGAUUACCAAUUAGGGCUACAAAUUAAGUUAAUUAAGGAGACUAAUUAGCUAAUUAGGGAGACUCAUUGGAAGGUUAAAACUUGUUGAAGUGAUUAUACCUGUUAAGACUUGUGUAGCACUGGUAAUUAAGAAGCAUGGUUACACCAAGAAGGUAUGCUAAACGAGCAACGGCGAGCUGCAUCUCUCCACUGCUGGUGAAAAUCAUGGCACUGUAGUCUCUGCUUAUGAAGAUAGCAACCAUGGCUAAAACCCCGACGAUGAGAGCUUGCAAGACUGCAACGCAGACGGAGUAUUUGGCUGCUCUCGGGCGCCCCAUCCCAAGUUCGUUCGAGACUCGUGUGCUAUGUGCAGAUGGUAGAUCAUUAACAAUGUGAUACUAAUUAGAAACACCAGAAAAAAUGGAAAGCACAUUACUUGACAAAUAACAUAGCAGCAUGUAUUUACCUUAUAGCAGCAUUUAUUCCAAGCAACAACAUAAGCAACAACAUAACUUCCCAAUUCCAAAAAUUCAUGCUGAAAGAAAACAAAAAUGAAGCAAUGAGCACCUCUUGUCACUCGUUUAAGUCGUUUACAAGGUAUAAUGUUGGAUAGUGGCCAAAUUAGUGGCCAAGUGGACAACAAGUCAACUCUCCUUUCGGCUAUUAAACAAACCAAAAGAAUGAAGGACAUAAUGAUGUGGGAACAUCAUUAGGAGGUUUUCCUUUAUGAUGUGGCCACAUGAGUGGAAAUUAUGAUGUUUGUUCCUUUUGUUUAUAUUAAGGCAUUUGGUUAUGCCUUUGGUUUUGGGGGUUGGGAACGGCAGAUUAGAGAGAAGAAGAGGUGGGUUACUGUUUUCUAUCCUCCAUUUGUUUGUAAUCCCCUUUUGUUAGUAAUCCCUCAAUCAAAGAUGUUGCUGCUACAUUUUGUGGCUUUUGGGAGAGAUGGUAUUUGAUGUGUGUCUAUCUUCUCCAAUUGUUCUUUGUGAGAGUGAGAGCUAUUGGGUGUAUGUGGGAUUUGGGUUUGAGAGUUAAAACUCUAUUUGUAAUCUCCUUUUGAUAUUAGUGGAAUUUCCUCGCCGUCUCUGAACUGGACGUAGGCUUACGCCGAACUAGUAUAAAUCCUUGUGUCAUUUGGAUUAUUUGUCUUGUCAUACUUUGCCAUAUUAGCUUAUUGGUUUCAUAUUUGACGCUUCCGCACAACAAGUGGUAUCAGAGCUCUGGGUUUCGACUAGGGGCUUUGUACUAGUAUGUCUAUGAAACCUUCGAAUAUGUCGGUGAAAUAUGAUAUUGAAAAAUUCAAUGGGAGGAAUGAUUUUAGCCUGUGGCGGGUUAAGAUGCGAGCUGUGCUAGUUCAACAAGGGUUGCUUAAGGUGCUACAGGGUGUGGAAGCCUUGCCACAAGAUUGGUCUGCUGAAGAAAAAGAAGACGCUUUGAAUCAAGCACAUAGUGCAAUUAUGUUAUCACUAUCUGAUGAAGUUCUUCGUGAGGUGGAUAAUGAAACUACUGCAGCUGGUUUGUGGCUUAAGUUGGAGAGUAUAUAUAUGACCAAAUCCCUCACCAAUCGUUUGUAUUUGAAGCAACAUUUGUACACUCUCCAUAUGAUUGAAGGUACACCUAUUCAAAACCAUCUUGAUGAGUUUAAUAAGGUUAUUAUGGAUUUGAAAAGUAUGGAUAAUAAAAUUGAUGAUGAGGAUCAAUCUUUGAUUUUGUUGUGUUCUUUACCUCCUUCGUAUGCGAAUUUUGUUGAAACUUUGUUAUAUGGGAGAGAUUCUAUUUGUAAGGAGAAUGUAAAAGCCGCUUUGAAUUCAAGAGAGUUAAAGAACAAAGUAUUUGAAAAUUUGAAUGAUUCUCAUUCCGAGGCUUUGAUAGCAAGAGGCAGAGAUAUGGAAUAUGGUUCAUGUAGUAAUAGAGGAAAUUUGGGAUCGAAGUUUAAGACCAGAAACAACACAUGCAACUAUUGUCGCAAGGAAGGGCAUUGGAAAGUUGAUUGCCCAAAACUGAAAGAUAAUGUUGGUGCUAGUGCGAAUGUCAUCGAUGACGACUUCGACUUUGUUCUAUGAUGACAGUUGGCUACACCAGAUUUGAAAAAAAAAAAAAAAAAAAAAGGAAUCUGGUGUUGUGGGUACUCUUGAAUCUCUUCGCUGCAUAUGGAGAUUUAAGAGUUUGUAAGGAUUCUUUUGUUAUGAUGUGUUUGUGUUUUGUCAGUUGCCUCUUCAUUGUUUUUUGUUUGUUUUGGAUAUUGGUAUGGUUUUUCCUUUUGGUAGAAUUGUAUUCAGUGAGAACCAAUUUGUUGAGUUCUGCAAGGAUUUGAUAGUGAGACACCUAAUGCGGAACAUUUGUGUGGAACCCUCUUGUAGAAGGCAAGUUAUAUGCUUUCUAACUUUGGUCUAUGGACAUUUGGUUGGAUUUGUUUGCCACUGCUAUUUGGUUUGUUGGUCUCUAGCAUCUGAAAUAUGCUUUGUUGAAGACUCCAGUUGAGCUAUGGUUUUGGAUCUCCUACUGAUUAUUUGAAUUUGAAAUAUUUGGUUAUCCUAUUGGUGCUCAUGUGAUGAUGGUAAACUUGAGUGAAGGGCAUAAUAUUGAUAUUCAUAGGAUCUGAAUUUGGGUGAAAGGUUUUGUAUGUGGUAUGUUAAACCUUGUUGCCAAAUUUUGUAAUCAAUUUUGACUUGGAGAAUGUGCCAUGCUAUGUGAAUGAGUCUAUUGGUGCAGUUUAAGACCAUGGUGUUUGUGAGCAGGUGGAGUUCGUUGUGUGUCCAACUUUGGUAUGGUGUGCUUGAUCUUUUGUUGGUGAUAUUGAAGAAUUUCAGUUCUUCGUUUGAAUCACCUUUGUUUUGAUCAAGGCACUUAUGGUUUGCAAAUUUGGAGAAGACGGUAGAGAAAUGGUCUACUUUUGUUGGCUUUGGUACAAUUUGAGUCGAGGUGGAGAUCAUUAUGAGUACCGAGAGUUUGGGGAAUUUGAUUUAGUUCCCAUUGUCUUUAGUUUGUACUUUGGGUGCUUAUGGUGAUUGUUGAUUCGAUUCUCUAUGAUGUUUUCGGAAUUUGGCCAAAGUGGAAAUUGUUGGAUAGUGGCCAAAUUAGUGGCCAAGUGGACAACAAGCCAACUCUCCUUUCGGCUAUUAAACAAACCAAAAGAAUGAAGGACAUAAUGAUAUGGGAACAUCAUUAGAAGGUUUUCCUUUAUGAUGUGGCCACAUGAGUGGAAAUUAUGAUGUUUGUUCCUUUUGUUUAUAUUAAGGCAUUUGGUUAUGCCUUUGGUUUUGGGGGUUGGGAAUGGCAGAUUAGAGAGAAGAAGAGGUGGGGACUGUUUUCUAUCCUCCAUUUGUUUGUAAUCCCCUUUUGUUAGUAAUCCCUCAAUCAAAGAUGUUGCUGUUACAUUUUGUGGCUUUUGGGAGAGAUGGUAUUUGAUGUGUGUCUAUCUUCUCCAAUUGUUCUUUGUGAGAGUGAGAGCUAUUGGGUGUAUGUGAGAUUUGGGUUUGAGAGCUAAAACUCUAUUUGUAAUCUCCUUUUGAUAUUAGUGGAAUUUCCUUGCCGUCUCUGAACUGGAUGUAGGCUUACGCGGAACCAGUAUAAAUCCUUGUGUCAUUUGGAUUAUUUGUCUUAUCAUAUUUUGCCAUAUUAGCUUUUUGGUUUCAUAUUUGACGCUUCCGCACAACAAAUAAGUCGUCUGCAAGGGAUUCUAUCCGCACAUUAGUAGAAAUUGUCACUAUUCUAAAAAUCCCUGCCUAGGCCUCGCCUAAGCGCUAGACUGCUGGUCAUCAUCCCAAUGAAUGCCUAGGCGUUUGGAAAUUAAGAAAGGGCGCCCAAACCUACUGAGGCACCUGCCUAAACUGCCUGGGCACCCGCCUAGCCCACCCAAACCACUAGGCACCAGCCUAGGUUGCAACUCAUUUAGACCAAAAAUAGAUAGCUUUCAUUUUACAUUUUAUUUUUUUCUAAUAAACUGUAAGAGACUUAUUGUAUACUUAAAUGAACACACGUUAUAUGCUUGUUCCCCAUGUUUUUUCAUUAUGUUCCAAUACUUCAUAAUAAAUAUGUCAUUUUAUUUUGUAGUUGAUGAUGAAAUUAUAUACAUUUUAAGUAUAAACAGACACUUAUUUACACGAAAUAAAAUAGAUUUACUUAAAUCCACUUAGUCCGCCUAGUCCGCCUAGUCCGUCUAGGCGCCCGCCGCCCGCCGUCCUACUAGCAUCUUUUGGAAUCUUAAAAAUUGUAAUAACUUACCAUAUAGAAAAGGAACCAACAUCAAUGACUGCAUUUGGAAGCAGACCGGCGAGAAGGCUUAUACUCAUCGAAUAACACAAACCUAGGCAAACCAUCAUACAAGAAGCAAGUGACAGCUUAGCAAAAUCCCAAAUAUCACGAAACGCCAACAAUGAAAAUCCAUUCCACUCCUCUUUGCAGCAGACCAUAACAUAACCAACUUGACCAAUUGCAACUCCCCAGUUUGUGAUGUCACAAGUUACAGCUGCACCAGUUGUUCCCCAGCCAAAGACAUUGAUGAAGAGAUAAAGUAGCCAGGUUUGUAUGACCAGAGCCACGAAUGCGAUCAGCGUGACAUGAGAACCUUGCUCUGAGCCUGGAGGAACCUCUGAGUGGGCAAAUUGAUAGCAUAGGAAAACAUUUGAGGGAUUGUCUUUAGGCUGUAUACUCCAGCAAGAUUCGCCAUGCCAUGUUCUUGGCCUGAAAACUUUAGGAUCGGAGCGGCAAAAAAAAAAAAAAAAAAAAAAAAACUGGCAAAAGGAUAUGCAGAUGAUGAAUAACAUAAUCCAUGAGCGCUGCAUAUAGAUUCCUAGCUUCCCUGCUUGGCCUGCUCCAUAUGCUUGCCUACUUGACUCGGAUACGUAUCGGUUGCGUAUCCGUAGGUAUCUCCCCACGUAUCCGUAUCCCAGCGUGUCAGAUAUGGGAUACGUUGGUCUUCCCCCGUGUCCAUGCAUCAUAGACAGCAACAACGUAAAUAAGCAGCAAUAAAACCGGUUACAAAAUUAUAAUUGAAAAUAUAACCAGACCGACACCAAACUGACCGUAAAAGGUUAAUUGUGUGUACUGUGCUUACCAGGAAACCAAAAGGGAUGAUGAAAAUGACACUGAGGGAGAGAGAGACAGCAGAGAGCUCGACAUCUCCGAGAUGACCGACAAAGACGGUGGUUAUGUGGACUGAAUCAGGUAUUGAAAAAGAGAAGUGUAGGCCACCGGAGCUGCAAUUCUCCAGAGCUUCACAGCCUCUUUCCUAGAGACCUCCAUAGCCUCCCCAAAGCUCCUCACUGGAGCAUAAUCAGCAGCUGCUGCCGCCUCUGCAUUGAUUUUCAGCAAUGGUGUUUCCAUUGAGAGAUUCAAAAGGGUUACUACUGCUGAUGCUUAGCUCCAACAAGUUAUAGUUGGAGUUGUGGGGUUAUUCUCUCACGUGAUUUUUGUUUUAAUAUCUAUGAUUUUAUUUAACUAAUUUUUUUGUUUUUACAAACAAUAUUCUACAUUAAACUAAUUUAAGUUGUAUAAAACGGUUUGCACUGAGUAUAAGAGAACACAUCCAUCCAAACCAACAUGACUACGCCCACUUCCACAAAGCCUAAGCAACAAAGAUAAAGCAAAAUCAGAUGGGGAGACGGCCAAUCAAGUCACAAAAGCAAUUUACAUAAAAUAACUUUACCGCCGAGAGCAUCAAGCUACUGCAUAAACCACCUGUCUAUUUUUGGCUCCGAGUGUUUGAAGCGUAGUGUUAGUACAAAAAUUUCACAACGUGUGGUCUGAAUUUGAAAGAGUAGUGAAAUCGAUACCUAAAUAUUUCAGCAGGUCCUACAAGCAUAACUGUCUAUAUACUGUGCCUUCCUCUAGAUCCUAAAAUAUCUAAUUUUCAAUGAAAAAGAAAAUUGUAGAAAUGGUCGCUCAACUUUAACUCAACCAGUGGAAUAAACCCUUAACUAAAAAUCUAUAACCAUUGAUUCCUUAACUCGUCACAACAUAAUUUCGUCAAAAUUAGAAGGAUUAAAGUUAAAGGAUCAUUGCUCCAAUUGUGUUAAAGUUGAGGGACAAUUUCUCUGAUUGGGUUAAAGUCGAUGGACCAUUACUAUAGUUUUUCUCAUUUGGUUUUCCAUAUUUGCCUCUUGAGUCAACCUCACAUGGGUGACAAGUAACUCAUUUUGAAGGAAGUUCUAAUGGAGUUGACGGAAAUGAUCAUAGGUGCAUAUUUUGAUGAGUUACGGGAUCAAUGGUCCCUGAUUUUUAGUUGAGGGACUAUUACUCUAAUUGAAUUAAAAUUGAGGGACCAUUACUACAAUUUUCUCUUAUUAAUAUAAUCCAGUGGGGAUAUUUAUUGACCACAAAAAAAAAACAAUCCCUCGGGGUAUUUGUCUUUGUAAUGAAGAUCAUAUACGUUUAGCUCCACUCUCGGUUUUGAUGUCUUGCCCACCCCACUUAUGGACGCGAUUUUUUGCUUGCUCCACCUGCAAUUUAAUUACGAUUCCAAUCAAUAAGGAACUUCAGGAUAUACAAUGCAAUGCAGAAACCAAAGUUGAAGAGAUUUGAAAUAAAGAAUUGAUUAAUUACCUCUUUGUUCCAAUUAGUUUUGUAAAAUAUAAUUAGCAGAAGUAUGGUUUGGAGAGCAGUUCCACAUAUCAUGCCUCCCCAUAGUCCCUACAAUAUUAAUCAAAUAACUCAUCAAGUACUCGUUGUGGGAGUUGCCAAAUUAUCUUAGACAUCAUUGAAAGAAGAAAAAUAAUAUUUAUUUACCAUGACUCCCCAUUUUGCAACAUGGCAAAGAAGGUAUCCAAGAGGAAUUCCAAAAAUGUAGUAACAACCCAAGUUUAGAUAGGCAACCAUUGUCUGCCAUCCACCUCCAAUUGCAACACCUUCAAGAACAAGCAAGUCAACAAAUGCAUCAAAAUAUGCUUGCAUGCGCACAUGCAACACAUAUAUCAUAGAUUUUAUGUGCAUGAUGAUCCAUUUUGGUUAUUAUAUAGUAUAUAUAACAUGCAUAACGAGAUACCUGAUAUUACUAGUUGGACACUGUUGAGCACCAUAGUUAUACCGAGAAGGUAUGCCAACUUAGCAACCGCUUGUUGCAACUCCUGGUCACUUGUGAAAAGCAUAGCGAAAUCAUCUCUAGUCAUUAAGACAAUAAUCAUGAAAAGAAUUCCGAUCAAUAGUGAUUGAAAUACUGUCACAUAGAUAGAGUAUUUUGUUGCUCUGGGACGUCCUGACCCAAGUUCAUUAGAGACACGAACACUGCAGAAGAAGAUAAAGUUAUUAUAGACACUGUAAAUAAUCAAUGACAAGUGCAAGAUAAAUAUCAUAAAACUAAUAGUCUAAUGCAUUACGUGCCUUAUUGAAAUAUUUAUUCCAACGAACAACAUUGCUUCCCACCCAUUGAUGUUCAUGCUGUGGAGACCCAAAAAAGAAAGAAUGCUAUUAGAAAUCAAAAGCUAUCAUAUACCAUAAAAAGAGAACUUACCUGCACUAGAUACGUGCAUUGUCAUGUGUUUUAACUUUCACACAUAGCAAUAUGCAUUAUUACCCUGUGCAGUUAAGUAACAUCUAUUUAUGAAAAGAGUAUAGGUAGUUAACUAAAAAAUUUAAAAUAUUAAUUACCAAAUAGAAAGAGAACCAAUGGCUAUAACUGCAUUAGAAAGACUGCCGGUGAGAAUUAGUAUACUCAUCAUGUACCAAAUCUCAAGGCAGAGCAUGACUGCGGAGGCAAGAGAAAGUCUUACAAAUUCCCAAAUGUCCUUGAAAGCGAGCCAUGAAAAUCCAGUCCAACCCUCUUUGCACCAACCCAUAAUAUACACAACUUGAGCAAUUGCCAUCCCCCAUCUUGUAAUGUUAAAUGACACAGCUGCGCCCAAUGUGCCCCAAUCAAACUCAUACAUGAAAAGCCCUAGCAUUCCAAUGUGUAUAACCAGACCUAAAAAUGCAAUCCAUGCCAGCACCUUUACUUUUCUCUGAGCUUGGAGGAACUUCUGAGCUGGGAAAUAUAUGGCAAGUGAGAAUAUUUGAGGGAUUAUUUGGAGUGUGAAUUUUCCGGCUAGGUUCGCUAUGUCAUCUUCUUGGCCUAGCCACUUUAAAAUCGGCACGGCGAAGAUGUAAACCGGCAAAAGGAAGAGGGUGGUUACAAAUAGAAUUAUCCAUGAUCGUUGCAGGUAGAUCCCAAGCAUAUGAACCUGUCCAGCGCCAAACGCCUGUCCACACAAUGUCUCCAGGGCACUCCCCAUCCCAAGCUAAAAUUUCAUUUCAGACAAAUAAGUUUUUUGUAUUCGGUACAUUGAUAAUUUGACAAUAUCACAUACAUGGUAUAGUACUAUUUUCAAUAAAAUCACAUGUAUACGAUAUAGUACUAUUUUCAUUGUUAGAUUUUAGUCAUUGGGAAGUUUCAAAUGCGUCAACGUUUUUUGUACCAUGUGUUUCAACAAAAGCUACCUAAUUAUUACGAUAAGUUCUAACAAACAGUCUAACAAUAUAAUAUGUCAAAUAUCGCGUGUUUGAGAGAAGGGGAAUUACAAAGGGAAGGAGAUUAAGUACCAUCAAUCCAUCAGUGAAUGUGGAAAUGACAGCCAGAGAAAUCGAGAUGGCGGAGAGCUGGAUAGUUCCGAGAUGACCGGCAAAGAGCAGGAUGACUGCGUUAGUCCCAUACAUACAGAUGAUAGUGAUCACUGACGAAACGCCUAUUUGCCACAGCUUUACCGUCUCUAUCCAAAACAUACGCUGGAACGCAUCAAAGCUCCUCACCGGUGCGUAGUCUUCGUUCCCGCCUUCAUAAAGAGGAGGUCUAUUGCUCAACUCAUCGGCGCCGGCAGCAGCUGUGUGAAGCAGCGGCUCCUCCAUUUGUUAAUUAGGUUUGAGAUUUGAGUUUGAGAGAUUUGGUACCUUAGUUUGUAAAUGUGUUCUGUAAAUAACAUAUUUGGUCAGAAUAAAUCUUUCAUCGACAGAAUGUAAAAUAUAAAUAGCUUUCCUUGUACAACAAGAAGACUAGAAAUGCAACAAAGGAAAGUAACAAAUACAAAUCAAUCAUAUAACUCCUUCCUAUCUAAUUACAUUGACUUUCUAACAAUUUCUAGUUACCAAUGCUUUUCUUUAUCGUUCCGCUCUUCAGGGUGUUAAAAAGUCACACACACACAGGGAUUACUCACUUUCUAUAGCAGCCCAGAAAUGUCUCACUUUCUAUAGCAGCCCAGAAAUGUUACAGAAAGUGUUGCAAAGCAUUUUCUCUAAUGCUAUACUAGGCCAUGCUAUAGAAAGAAUAAAACUCUCUAUAGCAUUUUUCAAUUGUUAUAGAAAAAUGCUAUGAAAUGUUUUUUUAUAGUAUUUAUUAAAUGCUAUAAAAUAACAUCUGUAGCAUUUUAAAAAUGUUAUAAUCCCACUUGAUAAUAUUUAAAAAAAUGCUAUGACAAAAUUUACUAUGGCAAUUCCAAAAUGCUAUCAAAAGUUUACAAUAGCAUUUUUCAAAUGUUGUCAUAGCUUUUAUUGCAUUCUUGUACUAUCCAUAGCAUUUGGCAGUGUUUAGGAAACAUCUAUAGGGAGUUAUGGAAUCAUUGUACAAUCACAUAUCAUUUCAGAAACACUUACUAAAUCAAGGAAUCUUUUUUUAUUCCUAAUUACCAAAGUAAUAACACUAUUCAAUUAUUUACAAUUAUAUGAUAUCUCAAUUUUUUACAAAGAGAAUUGAACUAAACAAAUACAACCAUAUUCUAAAUUUUUCAUCUCUGCUUUUUAACCAUUGCAGCAGCUUCACUUUCAUUUCUCACUCACUGUAAUAGUAGAGAUCAAAGUCACUUAAUGAUGAAAAUCCCUCAAAAUAGACUACACAUAUAAUCAGCAUAAACAGACAUAUCUUCACUAAGCAGAAACUGAACAAAAAAGAAGAAACAACUAGAGCAAAAUUCCCAAAUAUGACCAAAUCCGAUUGCAAGCAGCAACAUUUGAUACAAUCUAAUAAUGUCAAUAAAGAGUCAUUAUUCCUAGCAACAUUUGAUAGAAACCUGAUCAUUAUAACUUAUAACCAAAGUUUGUAUAUAGAUAUGCGAACAUAUAUGUGGAAUUAGAACAAGCAAGUUCUGGUGAUUACAUACCUCUAAAACUAUCGUGAACGUAGCCCAAUUAUGGGUGAGCCACUAUAUAUCUUCAAGCUUAUAUUAUAAUCCUCUGCACUUCAUAUCGUUCAUCCCAUUGUAUCUUCUAUGCAUCCUCUAAGUUAACCCUAUCAAUUUUUAGCGUUAACACGGUGCAAUGUACAAUACUUUUAGGGUAAAAGACUGUUUACCACCCUCAUAUUUCGUGGUUUUCAACAUUUAGUACAUCAAAUUUUUUUUCGUCCCAGAGUCAUACCUAAAGUGUAAAUUUUGGGACAGUCUCAUACAUCUGUUAGUCAAACUGUUAGUUCUCCCGUUAAGUGAUGACGUGGCGCCCUUAUUGGACGCCACGUGUCAUUAAAAAAAUAAAAAAUGUAUUUAAAUAAAAAUAAUAUUAAAAAAUAUUUAAAUAAUAAAAUAAUAAUAAAAAAAAAAUUUCCUUCUUCUCUUCUUCUUCUUCUUCUUCUGGAUUCGGUUCUCUCUUUUCUUUUUUUUCUUCUUCCUCCUCCUUCUUCUUCCUUCUUCUUCCUUCUCCUUCCUCCUCCUUCUUCUUCUUCCUUCUCCUUCCUCCUCAUUCUUCUUCUCCUUCUUCUUCCUUCUUAAGAAGGAAGGAGGAGAAGGAAAAAAACAGAAAAAAAAAAAAAAAAAACCGAACCCAGAAAAGAAGAGGAAGAAGAAGGAGAAGAAGAAGGAGGAGGAAGGAGAAGGAAGAAGAAUGAGGAGGAAGGAGAAGGAAGAAGAAGAAGGAGAUGAAGAAGGAGGAGGAAGGAGAAGGAAGAAGAAGGAGGAGGAAGAAGGAAAAAAAAAAAAAAAAAAAGAAGAGAAACCGAACCCAGAAGAAGAAGAAGGAGGAGGAAAGAGAAGGAAGAAGAAGGAGAAAGAGGAGGAAGAAGAAGAAGAAGAAAAAAAAAAAAAAAAAGAAGAGAGAAACCGAACCCAGAAGAAGAAGAAGAAGGAGAAGAAGAAGGAGGAGGAAGGAGAAGGAAGAAGAAGGAGGAGGAGGAGGAAGAAGGAAAAAAAAAAAAAAAAAAAACCGAACCCAGAAAAAGAAGAAGAAGAAGAAGAAGAGGAGGAGGAAGAAGGAAAAAAAAAAGAAACCGAACCCAGAAGAAGAAGAAGAAGAAGAAGAAGAAGAAGAAAAAAAAAAAAAAAAAAAAAAAAAAAAAAAAGAAGAAGAGAAGAAAAAAAAAAUUAUUUUAUUAUUAUUUUAAUAUUUUAAUAUUUUUUAAUAUUAUUUUUAUUUAAAUUAUUUUUUUAUUUUUUUAAUGACACGUGGCUUCCAAUCAGAGCGCCACGUCAUCACUUAACGGGAGAACUAACAGUUUGACUAACAGAUGUAUGAGACUGUCCCAAAAUUUACACUUUAGGUAUGACUCUGGGACGAAAAAAACUUAAUGUACUAAAUGUUGAAAACCACGAAACAUGAGGGUGGUAAACAGUCUUUUACCCAUACUUUUACGUAAUAUAAUUUUUUUUUUUUUGAACAAACGAUAGUAUCUACUUUAAGUGGUGGGGGAUUGGGUUAAGCCUCACAAUGAACUUGUAAUAAUGUGAUUCAAAUUCAUCUUUGGCGAGAAUCGAACCUAAUACCUAUCACUUUCAAGUGAAGAGGAAUACUACUAGACCGUAAUGUAAACUAAAUAGAACUGCACACUUAGUUUAUCACAUGCUUAAAGGAUUGAAGUCAUAAGAGAUUGGGACAGACUAAACUUGUAAAGCUAUCAGGGAAUGUAUUUGAUCGAAUAUAAAGCUGGAAGUAAUCCUAGUAUGAAUAGGUUUAACUAUUCUGAUAUGAUAACUUUGGUUUGUGGUGAUAAGGAUAUUUGUUUAUACAAUUUGAUUAGGAUUACAUGAUGGGAAGUAACCUAAUCAAUACCACCAUUAAGGAUAUAUAAUAGAGGUCCCUGCAUUCACACUGAUUACGCAAAAUAGAGAGAACAAGCCCCAUUGUUUGUUAAUUGCAUACAGUAGUGUUGAGUGUAGAAGAGCUCUAGUUUUUCUACUGCAAUGAUUUCACAAGGUUAGUGGUUAAUUAUAUUUGUGAUUUGCUUAUUUCCACUAUUAACUAUAUUACACGUAGUGCUAGAUGGCUUAUGUAAUAUAAUAUUAGAGGAAAAGAAAAAUCUGAGAAUAAAAUGAAAGCAAUUGAAGUUGACUAUUUAGAUUCAGAGGGAAGGAGUAGGUGAGGUUUAGAUUUUGAAACCCUUUCAAUUAAACUAAAAAAAAUAGAGGGUAUAGCAACAAAGUGGUGACUUAGGAAAGGAAAUAUCUUGAGGUGGUUGACCUAAAUAACGGUAGAGGAAUCGUUUAAGAUCCUGGUGCUGGUGGUUGAUCAAUUGAACAAGUCUAACUUAACGGUCCUAAUGAGGAUGAAAAGUAAUUACGCGGUUAAAGGACGAUGUAUUAUAAGUGAAAAGCUGUAGGGUUUAUAGGUGAUGAGCCUUAAUAUUUAGUGAAUAAUUCCUGAACUGUCAUUAACAUUUCAAAAAAGUCGUUAAGAAUUGCAAAAGGGAAGUGCAUGAUAAGUUAACUGUAUUGAGGUGACAAUACCGUUUUUAUUAUUUAUGGUUCGUGCCAAUUAUUAGUUAUAAAGAACUUUGUCGGUGCUUGAUUGUCACUGGCAAUGGAGUGUUGUUAUUCACUUACACGUUAGAUUUAUUAAUGUGACUUCUAUUUGUACCAUACUUGAUCAAUCCUAAAAUUACUGAGCACCGGUUAACGUUAUAUCGUCAAUGACCUAGAAGAGUUUCUCUCUAACCAGGAGGCCAAUCACAGCGCGACAUGUGUCGACAUCAGAAGCCAAUCAUAACGCGACACAUGUCAACAUCAUAAGCCAAUCACAACACGACACGUGUCAAUGUCAGAAUGAAACUAUAAACUCUCUUCUAUAAAUAGAGAUCAGUCUCUCACAAUAUUUCCUAAUGUCAUUUGUACUAAAUCAUUCACUAGUACUCACUAAAGGAGAGCUUGAACCUAUGUACUUAUGUAAACCUUUUACAAUUAAUGAGAACUAUUCUACUCCAUGGACGUAGCAAAUCUGGGUGAACCACGUACAUCUUGUGUUUGCUUCCCUAACUCUAUCCAUUUACAUACUUAUCCACACUAGUGACCGGAGCAGUCUAGCGAAGGUCACAAAUUUAACACUUUUUGUUGUACCAAAGUCCUCACUGAUUUUGUGUAUCAACAACUUCUAUGUCACAUUUUUACAAAUUAAGGGCAUGCUUAGAUCUCAAAGUAGGUAGGAUAACAUAAACAAAACACACACACACACAGAGAGACACACACAACAGCCAUCCAAGCUCCCCCGCCCAUGCAACCCCGACAAACACCAACCUCCUGCACCCAACACCCCGCCGCUGGCAGAAAUCACCACCCAUUCUUACUACCAGCUCAGCCUUCCUCCACUUGUUUUCUCCUCAGUCCUCACCAAAACAGUGUCAUCAUUAAAUGGAGCAAAUAAUUUAAUAUACCCCAUAAAAAGAAAAGGGAACUUCAAGUACUUUCAGCUCCGUUGGCAGUUUUGAUGUCCUGCCCUCCCCACUUCCGGACACGAUUUGUUGCUUUCUCCACCUGCAAUUUGAAAUACAGCCCAUGACAUGAAGUUGCCAAAGUUGAAGAGAUUUGAAAUAUAAGUAUUGAUUAAUUACCACGUUGUUCCAGUUUGUUUUGUAAAGUAUAAUUAGCAGAAGUAUGGUUUAGAGAGCAGUUCCACAUAUCAUGCCCCACCCCCCCCCCCCCCCCCCCCCCAAAAAAAGUCCCUACAACAUCAAUCACAUAACUCAUCAAGUACUUGGUGUCGAAGUUGCCAAAUUAACUUGGCAACAUUGAAAGAAAAUAAAUAAUAUUAAAUUUACCGUGACUCCUAAAUUUGCAACAUUGCAAAGAACGUAUCCAAGAGGAAGUCCAAAAAUGUAGUAACAACCCAAGUUUAUAUAAGCAACCGUUGCCUGCCAUCCACCUCCAAUUGCAACACCUUCAAGAGCAAGAUCAAAACAUGGCAUCAUAUCAUGUUUGCGCAAUCACACACUAUAAAAUUUUGCACACAUAACGUUUGUUCUUUGUUAUAUAUAUUACGUAUAAGAUGCAUAAUACACAGUGACUUGUCAAAUAGAUACCUGAUAUUACUGGUUGGACACUAUUGAGCACCAUAGUUAUACCAAGAAGGUAUGCAAGCUUAGCGACCGCUUGUUGCAGCUCCUUGUCACUUGUGAAAAUUACGGCAAAAUCGUCUUUGGUUAUUAAAAUAAUAAUCAUGAAAAGAAGCCCAAGCAAGAGAGAUUGAGAUACCGUCACAUAAACGGCGUAUUUGACUGUUCUAGGACGUCUUAAUCCAAGCUCAUUGGCGACACGAACACUAUAUAAGUAAAGAAAGUUGUUAUAAAUAAUCCAAAAUAAUUAGAGAAAAUUGCAGGGUAAAUACCAGAGAACUACUAGUCCAAUGUUUUACCUUAUUGCAGCAUUUAUUCCAACGAACAACAUUGUUUCCCACCCGUUGAUGUUCAUGCUAAGAAAACCCAAAAGUGGAAAAUAAAUGCUAUUAGAAAUCAAAAGCUCAUGUAACAUGUAAAGGGGAAAACACCAGAUACAUUAUUGUACUGAACCAAUAACACAUUGUCACAUAUCUAAAUGAUUUUAAAUGACAUUACAUUAUUGACUUAAAAUAUUGUUAAAGUGUCAUACCCGCCGUAAGUCACAAAAAGGGUAAAGAUUUUUUUUUUUUUUUGAACAAAACAAAAUGGGUAAAGUUAAUUAUUUGAAAAAGGAAAAAAGUGAAGUGUUAAUUACCAAAUUGAAAGAGAACCAACGGCUAUAACUGCAUCAGAAAGACCGCCCGUGAGAAUGAGUAUACUCAUCAUGUACCAAAUUUCCAGGCAGAGCAUAUGCAGACGAGAAAUUCAUGCCCAAAUCAUUGAAAAAGAUUCCAGUCCACCCUACGAACCCAUAAUACAUUCAAUUGAAAUCCCCCAUGAGGUUAAUGACAUGCCCCCAGUGCCAAUCAACAUACAUCGCUCACUGUGUAUGACCACCAACACUGCAAUCCAUGCCAGCACCUUCACCUUCCUCUGAGCCUAGAGUAAAAUUAAAUUCUCAGACAUUCUUGUGGGAGUGUCAAGAGUACAAAAGCUCUUACGAAUUCUACAUAAAACGGUUAGAUACUUGAAAUUCCAGCACCAAUGUUGUCCACACAGGGUCGAGCACAACAAGCUAGCAAAAUCAUUUCACAACGAACAGAUUUCGUAUCAACUAUCUGACAACAUAACAUAAUGAUGUUUAGAUCCACAUGUAUCAUAUAUGUUGCUAACUAAUAUUUUGACGUUGAUGAUCGAUACUUUGUCACGCGUUACCCUUUAAUGAAUAAAAGCAAGGUGAAGAUCUACUAAGAACCUAUGCUUACUCAAGAAACAUAAGGAAUUAAAAAAGUUAAUUAAUACCAAAAUAGUAUAGUGAAUGUGGAUAUGACAUAGAAAGGAAAUGAGAAAAACAAGUCAUAGUUCCUAGAAACGCGGGUAACUUAAAAAGGGCCCUAAUAUUAUUAAAGAAAAAUUUAAGUUUAAAAAUAGUAAAUAUUUAAAAAUAUGUGGUUUAUAUAAAUUACUUGUUGCUCCAAUCUACAGGGUAUUUAAAAAUACAAAACAUUUAUUAUCGAUCAUGCUUGCUUUAUAUAGGGACCACUUAUAAAUUGUUUAAAAGUAGUUCGAAAGUAAAAAAGGAUACUUUCUAGAUACGACUUAAUCUUCAUUAUUUGACAAAAACCUUAGUGAUAUUCAAAGUUUGAUCAAAAUCCAAACUUUGUACACCUUAUUAUUAUUAAAAUUUUUUUAUUUAUAGUUCCAACAUUAAUUGAUAUUUUUAGAAACUAAAUCUUAUAAAUUUAAACCCUCAUUUAAAUACUUUUAAAAACAGUUUACAAUAAAACAUUCAAAACAAGAUUGAAUAAAUAAAAAACUAAGAUUAUUUAUUCAAUAAAUAAAGUUUAUGAUGUUAUUAAUAUCCAAGGACGCUUAAUAAUAUAUUAAAAUUGACAAGAUCUGAAUAGGAUUUCUAGUCAAUGGAAUAGUAAAAAGAAGGAUGUAAACCUAAUUUCUCUUUUACAUGAUGUUAUUAAUAUCCAAGGACCUUAAUUAAAAAUUGAAAAUGAAUAGGAUUUUAGUCAAUGGAAUAGUAAAAAGAAGGAUGUAAACCUAAUUUCUCUUUUAAAUAAUUACUUAAUAAUUGACUUAUGCACUUCAAUUUUUCACUCAACUACUCAUUUGACACUCCACCACAAAAUCUCGAAAUCUGAAUGGUUUAUGUUUUAGGUCUUAAUUAAAUAUCUUUCAAAAUAUGAUGUUGACCACUCAUUCAUUUACACUCCACAAUUUGAUCUCAUAAUCUAAACGUUUUUAUUCUACUUCUAAGUGUCCAACAAUCGCCUUACCCUACCAUAUAUAUUCUCAAACUAAAAGCUUGCGUUCAAAUAUGAUACGUUCUCAAACUAACAGCUUGUGGCCAAAUUAGAAUUAUCUUUUGUUAAACUAAACCAUAGCCUAUAUUAACGGACAGGAAACACUUGAGGAUGGAACAAGAAAAUGAAAAUAAAAGUGGAUGGUACUGUGGAACAAAGAGAUAAGUCAAAAGCAAGGAUCAUGUGGCGGGGGUCAUGUGGGGGUGGGGGUGGGGGUGGGGGUGGGGAGGGGGAGAUGAAUCCUUCAAGGUCUAACCUAACAGUCCUAACCCAUGCAUGAGAACGACGACUAGGUUGGAAUUUAUUGUUGGAUUUUUAACACAAAUAAUCCUUGAAAUUGACCAUUAUCAUCAAAAUAGUCUUUAAAAUUAAAAAUCAAUCAAUGUAAUCUUUGAAAAUAGGUGUCGCAAAUUAAUGUGGUCCUUCCAUCACAGUUCUGUUAAAAAUCCCAUUAAUUGCUGAUGUGGCACAUAAAGGGGCCCAACAAGAUUUACGGAUUUUUAUCAGAAAUGAUCCCUAAAAUUGAUCUACAUCAUCCAGAUGAUCUCUGAAAUUGAAAAUCAAUCAAUGUAGUCCUUGAAAAUAGAUGUCGCAAAUCAAUGUGAUCAUUCCGCUACAAUUUUGUAAAAAAAUUGUUAUGUGCUGAUGUGGGUUUAAUAAUUAAUUUAAAAAGUUGUCUAAGUACCUUUUUGCACAAUAGAAUUAUUUUUUUUUCCUUAUUGUAGGGCCUACUCCGAAGAGUGAUCCCUUACAUAAAUUCUCAAAGGCACAAGGCUUAACCAAGGCCUAAGAGGGGGUAUGGAAAUAGUUUUCAAUCAACAAUAGACGCACCUUGGUUAUAAUCUCAUUAUCUCAAGGCAAACUUUUUCGUUCUUUGCAUCGCCAAACCACCAAGGAAGUGCUGAACAAGCUCUCCAAGAUUAAGGUUGUGAUGAUGUUGAUCACCUAAAUGUUAACGAUGAUGUCCCAUAAGUCGUUGCCAAUCAGCCAAGCCAUCACCAAAUGUGAUCUCGACCCAAGUUCAAUUCAGUGAAGGGUGUUGAAGUGUGUAAAGAUAUGUGUAUUGAGAUUUUUUUUUUCUUUUCCAAAGAAUAGAGAGAAUGAGGUAGAGAUGUGGACUGGGAUC